rnacentral:lncRNA from 1 species
CGCGGCGCCCGGGUGUGGAUCCCUAGAUGGGAGCCGGGGAUGGGCCGGGUGCCUGGUGGGUGGCAGUCGGGGCUGACGGCGGCGGCACUUUGCCGCCUCAGGCCCUGGACACCUUCACCCCGCCGCCUGCCCAGGCGGGCCGGCCCUGCCCGUCCACCGGCCGCCGAGAGUCCCCGGCCUUGGGUCCCCGGGGCCGCUGACUGGCCUCGGUCACCUCCCGGGGAAGGCUCCCGCGCCUCCAUCUGCCCCCGCAGGAAGGGACCCUCUUCUCGCCCGCGAGGCUUCUCCGGGUGGGAUCGUCCUGGCCCCCAGCCCUAAGGGAUCCGCCCCCUCCGAGCAUCCGCCGCCCCUCGGAGACCACUCCAGCUCGGACGGACCCACUCCAGCCCCCGCUGCACGCGGAAGCGCUCAUCCUCCCCGCCUGCCCCGUUCCCUCCCCCUUCUCCUGUGGGACAACCAGGGACCGCAGCUCCCCGCUCCCCAGGUGUGGGGGCUCCGACACGAACGCCUCUGCUCGCAGGGCGGUGAGCGCAGAUCCCACGGGUCCCUCGGUCGGGGGUCGAGGCUGCUUCCGUUUCCAUCCCGGACCCGACAAUGGGCGGGAAAAAGAAGGCUUUACACGACUACGCGGCGGAGUUCACCGACCUGGUGGUGAAGCACCUGAUUGAGCACAGUGACUCUGGGGACACGUCUGUGGUGGAGACCCUUUACUGCAGGGCCUGCGAGCUGCCCGUGCGCGUGCGGAGGGACCGCAUCCUGGAACACCUGUCCUCGGGCAGGCAGCACGGCCUGCGGACGCCCAUUCUCAUGUAAAUGUCAGUGCCAACGCUGGUGUUUCAGGAGUCAUCCCAGCGGGCUGCGGGCUAUUUUAGGAUUCUCUGCCCUGCAAACGUUUCCAAAGUACGUGGACAGGCCGCCUGAUGACACUACGUUUACGGGAUCUGCUAGUGGCUUGCCUACUUAGGGAGUAAACCCUGUGAAGUCUCGCAGUUUUGUUAAAGUGUGCGUGGCCACCUGAAUGCUGCCUUAUCACAAGCCAGAUACAUACUGGUCUGUAGGGUAACUCCCCACUGUUGAUCCUCUGAGAUGAUUGUGGACUGGGUGCUGUGAGUCCUGCCACUUUGUUUAAGUGAAUGUGUCUUUUGUCCAGCUCAGCCGCCUCGGAUCUCGCUGCCACCAGCCUUACUGCACACCCGUGCCACCCGCCCUUGCCCCGUCAGCCUCAGCCUCAGCUCAUUCUCUCAGGCAGUCCCAGCAUUGGCACGGUACCUCCUCCCGCUGUGGGCCACACGUCUCUGCUCCCUGUCAACCCUCCUGCCAUCAGCACCACCACCAGCGACUUGUCUGCCCGGGAGGAUGCAACACCAUCUGCCUCCACCGGCCACCUUUCAGUGUUUCCUGCUUUCCAAGUAAAGAUACCAGCAGUGCCCUCAGAGCAGACCAGCCAGAGUUUUUCUGAAGCCUCCCACAGGGUGCUCCCCGGAGGAGGCCCGAGAUGCUCUCGUGACUUUGGAGCCGGGGUGGCUGGCCACCUUGGCCUGGGCAUCUUUGGGGUGGGCUUCGGGAGCCCGGCACUGCUGCAGAGUGUGGUGGAUGAGAACAGCUGCUGCUUGCUGUACGUGGUGGAGGACCAGCUGUGUGAUGUGGAGCAAGCCUUCAGAGCUGAGCAUUUGGGCCAACACCAGAGUGGUUCGGGAACAGGAUGCAGACAUUGUCCUCAACGACCAGCGGCACUUUGAUCCGGUUUUCCAGUUCUUGCACAAGCAAGUUUGUGUCAGCCACGCCCUGGGGAGGAUCCACUGGAUCACCGCCGUCACUGCCUGUUCCCGGCGGCCUCUCCGGCUUCCCUAAAGAGAGCAGCUUCCCUCGAGACCAGAAGCCAGAGCUCACCCUCCCUUGUGUCCAGGUGGGACUUUCUACAACGCUGCUGUGCACGACGUGGAUGCCGUAUGCAUGUUGCUGGGGGAAGCCACUCCGGACACUGUGUUUUCUCUGGGACAUGUCUUCUGCCCAGAUAUGGCCGCCUUAAAAGAUGCAGAUGCUGUUGUGAUCAGCAUGAAGUUUCCCUGUGAGGCCGUGGUUAGCGUGGACAUCAGCCAGCACUGCACAGACAGCUGCGACCAGGACGUCAGCCAGCACUGCACAGACAGCUGCGACCAGAGACUGGAGAUGGAGUCUUGCCCUGUCACCCAGGCUGGAGUGCAAUGGUGCGAUCUCGGCUCACUGCAACCUCCGUCUCCCAGGUUCAAGCGAUUCUUCUGCCUCAGCCUUCUGAGUAGCUGGGAUUACACGCGUGUGCCACCACGCUCGGCUAAUUUUUGUAUUUUUAGUAGAGAUGGGAUUUCACCAUGUUGGCCAGGCUGGUCUCGAACUACUGACCUCGUGAUCCACCUGCCAUGGCCUCCCAAAGUGCUGGGAUUACAGGCGUGAGCCACCAUGCUCGGCCUAAAAAACAAUUUUCUUGAAGAAUCCGAUUUUGUGCAUAGUAAUGACACAGCACCAUUCCUGAGAAAUAGGAAAUAUAUGUGUGUGGUAUGAAAAGCCCAUAUUCUGUUCUUGUCACCUGAAUCUAGGCUUCCUCUUUGGAUGUGAACGCGGGAAUGAACAGUGGCUGUUUUCCACCCAAAGGGGCGUGGAGACCUUUUGGAAACGGGCUUUCUCCUUUCCAUUUUGCAGCCGGGGGCGGGUGGAAACCUUCCUUCGAAGGGUAGUGCCUUGGGGAGCAGCAGACCUGCUCUGAGUCCAGCUUAGCUUUCCAAAAUUCUGUGUGGAACUUACUGGAGAUGUUUUUAUAUAUUUGAAAAUAAUGGCCUGUAUUUCUCACGCUAUACUUAAAAAAAAUAACUAACCUUUUAAACAAAGAUAUUCAAACUCA